CAGAGGCUUUCAGCUCCAGCUUUAUAUUUGAGGGGGAAGGGGUAAACUUGUCAAGUCACAUUACCAAAGGGGAAAAAAUGUAAAGCAAGAGUUUCUGAUGCCCCAGGAGUUUAAAUUGGAAGUGACAGAAGACAUAUGAGUUUAUAUAGAGAUAGGAGAGCCAUCUCUUCCCAAUCCAUUCACCAAACACCCUAAAAGAAGUGAGCUGCUCAGGACAGCAUGCACAAAGACUGACAAGAGACUGCACGAGUACCAUUUCUGACAGCAAGCAGAGUUC